AAUUAAAAUCCGAUUUGGAAGAGGGAAGGGCAGCCAGCACCAGUAUGCACAGCCCCCGGCCCCAGAGACCCGGGAAGGAGUAGGGAGGCCGGGCCGUGCGCGGAGGAGUGGCCACUGGGUUGGAAACCCGGCCCGGCAGGGAGCGGGGAAGGCGCGCUUUCCCGGAGAAGAGGACUGUCAGAAGGACGUAGAAGGCACAGUUUUACUGUGAGGAGCAAAGAUUCUUUACCUACGCAUUUUACAAGAAAUGUGCAGAAAGCCAUUGAUAAAUACACCUGAGUAUUAGGAAGACAGCUGAUCCUGCCCACUGACGAAGGCGUCCAGCAUUUCCAGGGCAGCACUCCUGCCUCCGCAGUCCACAGACCCCCGCUCAGUGCCUGCGGACACAGCAGCAACAUCAGAGAGUUGUGCGUUUCUGGCUCUCAAAUAGUCCCAGCAGCGCUCUCAGCCUCUGCCCUGCCAGGCCCUGAUGACACAGGGGUUGCUGACCUAACGGCACGUUCAUCCCUGGAAGAAGAGGUUUACCAUGUGGAUGGAAAGAUUGAGGAGUAUUUCGCUUUUGACAGAAAAGAGGAUGAUGAUGAAUGUCUUGAACAAAAACCAGCUCAGCCCGGUAGGAAAUGGCACGAACUCGGACUUCCUCCUGUUUCCCCGCGUGACUGUGUCAAAGAUGCCGUGGCAGCAGAAGUGUUUGAUCACGUCUGGACAAAUAUGGUAGAACUUUUGGAAGAGCUGAUUAGAAAACACUGGGAAACUACACUCACAGAAGGGAAAAAACAGAGAGAAACAUUGAAAGUGGCUGGAAACAGAUUUCCGCACGUCCUCAUUCCACGCGCUCACGCCGAUGGAGCCAGUGGCCCCCCGUCCGGACGCUCCGAGGCUCACGGCAUCUCCCUGGCUUCUCGUCCGAACCCGCCCCAGUGUCACAGUGCCUGGAGCCCUUGACGUCCUGCCUCUGAAGGACGAGGAUGUGCUCAAGUUCCUUGCGGUAGGAGCGCACGCAGGCGGCACCACCCUCGGCUUCCAGAUGGAGCAGUAUAUCCACAAAAGGACGGACCAGCGACGGCAUCUCUGUCAUAAAUCUGAAGGGACCUGGGAGAAGCUGCUGCUGGCAGCUCGUGCCAUUGUUGCUGUUGAACCCUGCUGAGGUCCCUGUCUUGCUCCAGGAACACUGGCCGGCAGGCUGUGCUGAAGCUCACUGCUGCCACCAGAGCCACUCCAGCUGCUGGCCGCUUCUCUCCUGGAAACUUCCCUCGCCAGACCCAGGCAGCCUUCCGGGAGCCAUGUCUGCUGGUCCCAUGUCUACUGAUCCCAGGCGACCACCUGCCUCUCAGAGAGGCGUCUUGGCUAACCCACCUCCCAUUGCUCUGUGGAACACAGAUUCUCCUCUGUGCUGUGUGGAAGUCACCAUCCGGUGCAACAA
rnacentral:sRNA from 1 species